rnacentral:rRNA from 1 species
UACGGGGGGGGCAAGCGUUGUUCGGAAUUACUGGGCGUAAAGGGCGCGUAGGCGGCCACCGCAAGUCGGUUGUGAAAUCUCCGGGCUUAACCCGGAAAGGUCAACCGAUACUGCGGGGCUAGAGUGCAGAAGGGGCAACUGGAAUUCUCGGUGUAGCGGUGAAAUGCGUAGAUAUCGAGAGGAACACCUGCGGCGAAGGCGGGUUGCUGGGCUGACACUGACGCUGAGGCGCGAAAGCUAGGGGAGCGAACGGG